UACGAGGGGGGCAAAUGUUGUUCGGAAUCACUGGGCGUAAAGGGCGCGUAGGCGGGUUUUUAAGUCAGGUGUUUAAUCCCGGGGCCCAACCCCGGACAGGCACUUGAAACUGGGAAUCUUGAAUAGUGGAGAGGUCAGUGGAAUUGGGGGUGUAGCGGUGGAAUGCGUAGAGAUCCCCAAGAACACCCGUUGCGAAGGCGGCUGACUGGACACAUAUUGACGCUGAGGCUCGAAGGCAUGGGGAGCAAACAGG
rnacentral:rRNA from 1 species